AACCAAUUAGGCUAAAUCACAAGACCGAAUUGUGAACAUGGAAACACAUGUAAAAACGGAAUAUAAACACCUUAGAGGGAACUAUCCAGAAGGUGUGGGCUAAUGGACUAACUAGUAAAUAAAUGACAAAUAAAGAUAAAACAAAUGAAUGCCACGAUCAGGACUGGAAAAUACGAAAAACACCUUGCAAUAUCAUUUCAUCUUUCUCAAGCUGCUCCUCUCAACCCAAACAGGCACAGGUAUAGACCUCUUUUGUGGUUUAAAUUCAAAAGAAACAAGUCAAUCACCCUCUCAGUGUCUAUCCCUCAUAUGCUUAACGUGGAAGACACAUGAGAAAUCGACAAUGACACUAUUCACAUUUCAUGUAAGUAAGACAUUAGAUAGGAAACUCAAGGCAAACAAGGACACCUACCGGAAUGGCACGAGAACAGAAUGAAAUCAUCAAGAAACAAAGCCCGUUCACGUUGAGGCGCGACAAAUGAGUUGAAUAUGCAAACAUAAACCACUCCAAACCUAUGAGUAGCUAAACUUAAUUAGCCAGAAGAAAUCGAUUGCAAGCUAAUCUUAAUGAAACUAAGGCCUAGCAACUACAAGGACUAGCAUGUUGAAGACAAAAUCAACUCGACUUCAAUUGCAAAUCAGUAAUUAUACUUCACCAAACUUCCAUUUUAUCCUUGAACUUAAACAAGAAUUGUUAACUGGUUUUGGAUUUUCUGAUAGGAUUAAAUCAAGAAAAGAAGGUCACUAUAUGUGAUUAUCAGUCAGUCGUGGAGGAGAAACAUGGAAGGGAAUUAUGCAGAUUCAAAUCAAAUUAUAAAAUUGGAGAGAUCAAGAAAGAGAGGUGAAUCAAGCAUCACGAACUACUGGGAUUAACUCUAUUCAAAUUAAUAAGGGUUUGUAAUAGUUUUGUGAAAAUAUAAGUCAAACUAACCAAGCCAUUAGUAGAAUAAACACAUCAGAUCAAUGAACAAUUCCAAAAGCUCAUUUCAUAUUUAAACCUGACAAAAUAAGAAGGCAUGGAAGUGAUUCCACUUGAGCCUAAGAGGCAUACAGAUUCAUCAAGUUAUCACUAAGCGAUCAAGGCACUUUGGCAUGAAACUUUGCAUUCAUCAAAGAAGUCAGUCGAAAGAACUCUAACAGUAACACAACAUAUCUCGCCAAACUCAAACUAUCACUCAACCGGAUCAAACUUCAAUCAACCACACUAGAACUAGGCAGAAUCGAAGUUGCGAGACAUUUAAAUACCAAAAACCAAACAGAACACGUGAUGGUGUAACUUAAUCCAGACUUAAUACUAUCCGAAAGUCACAAAAUUGUCUCUGCUAAUGCCCAGAUGCGAUUAUUUAUCUUCUAAAACAUGUCAAGCAAAUUCAAACUACUAAGUCCACUUUAUAAUAUUUCGAAUCAUCAUCAAGAGAGUAAGAAAACAAAGACGAAAUUGGAAGUUAAGCUUUCAUUUAAUUCUGUAGAGAUCGAUUACAAGAGAAGAAGAUUUGGUGACGAACUUGACAACGAAAAUAGCUACUGAAAAUCCAGAGUCAACAACGAAGCAGCAGAGCAGAAACCAACACAGGGAACGUGGACACGAACCGAAAAAUUCGAACGGCGAGCUCGACCUCGGAUCAAUCAAUCUCCAAGUUGAAACUAAAACCAAAAGAAGCAACUAAAAUAUUUUUGGGAAUUUUCUGAGCUUUUAUUUUGAAAAUGAAACCAAGACUUGAACAAAGGGUAAAUCAAACUUUCUUUUCUUUCUUUUCGUAUUUUCACUUUUCUGGAAUGCUCAUUACAAAGGAAACCGAGGAAUCUAAGAAGAAGGCCAAGGAAAACCAAGAGCCCCAGCUUUUUCCGAAAUUUUCCUCCUCCUCCUUCUCCUCCUUUUUUUCCAAAAAAAAACCCGUCCCCCCUAUGUAUAUGAACAUAUAUAUAUAUAUAUAUAUAUAUAUAU
rnacentral:lncRNA from 1 species